rnacentral:rRNA from 1 species
GACAGAGGGUGCAAGCGUUGUUCGGAAUUACUGGGCGUAAAGCGUGUGUAGGCGGCUUUGCAAGUCGGAUGUGAAAGCCCCGGGCUCAACCCGGGAAGUGCACUCGAUACUGCGAAGCUUGAGUGUCGGAGAGGUUGGUGGAAUUCUCGGUGUAGAGGUGAAAUUCGUAGAUAUCGAGGGGAACACCGGUGGCGAAGGCGGCCAACUGGACGAACACUGACGCUGAGACACGAAAGCGUGGGGAGCAAACAGG